rfam:Punica granatum cultivar Dabenzi scaffold586, whole genome shotgun sequence.
GAAUGAAGGAAGCAUGGUAAUGUGCACGGAUAUUCUGUUCUUGGGUCAACAUGUCUGCUCUCUCUGAUGCUUUAUUGGCUUUGAUUUGAGGGCCUGGUUGCGACCUACAUUC